UAGGGAAUCUUCGGCAAUGGGGGCAACCCUGACCGAGCAACGCCGCGUGAGUGAAGAAGGUUUUUCGGAUCGUAAAGCUCUGUUGUAAGUCAAGAACGGGUGUGAGAGUGGAAAGUUCACACUGUGACGGUAGCUUACCAGAAAGGGACGGCUAACUACGUGCCAGCAGCCGCGGUAAUACGUAGGUCCCGAGCGUUGUCCGGAUUUAUUGGACGUAAAGCGAGCGCAGGCGGUUUGAUAAGUCUGAAGUUAAAGGCUGUGGCUCAACCAUAGUUCGCUUUGG
rnacentral:rRNA from 1 species